UUUAGCUGUUAACUAAAGUUUCGUGGGGGUGGAGCCCACCAGUCUAG
rnacentral:tRNA from 1 species